rnacentral:rRNA from 1 species
AUUGAACGCUGGCGGCAUGCCUUACACAUGCAAGUCGAACGGUAGCAGGUCUUCGGAUGCUGACGAGUGGCGAACGGGUGAGUAAUACAUCGGAACGUGCCUAGUAGUGGGGGAUAACUACUCGAAAGAGUGGCUAAUACCGCAUGAGAUCUACGGAUGAAAGCAGGGGAUCGCAAGACCUUGUGCUACUAGAGCGGCCGAUGGCAGAUUAGGUAGUUGGUGGGAUAAAAGCUUACCAAGCCGACGAUCUGUAGCUGGUCUGAGAGGACGAUCAGCCACACUGGGACUGAGACACGGCCCAGACUCCUACGGGAGGCAGCAGUGGGGAAUUUUGGACAAUGGGCGCAAGCCUGAUCCAGCAAUGCCGCGUGCAUGAUGAAGGCCUUCGGGUUGUAAACUGCUUUUGUACGGAACGAAAAGCCCUGGGUUAAUACCCUGGGGUCAUGACGGUACCGUAAGAAUAAGCACCGGCUAACUACGUGCCAGCCGCCGCAGUAACAC